UCAAAUCUGGCCUUACAAGUAAGAACCCACCU
rnacentral:piRNA from 1 species